rnacentral:rRNA from 1 species
CACAUGCAGUCGAACGGACUUACAUUGAAGCCUAGCGAUAUGUAAGUUAGUGGCGGACGGGUGAGUAACGCGUGGGUAACCUGCCUUGUACUGGGGGACAACAGUUGGAAACGACUGCUAAUACCGCAUAAGCGCACAGCUUCGCAUGAAGCAGUGUGAAAAACUCCGGUGGUACAAGAUGGACCCGCGUCUGAUUAGCUGGUUGGUGAGGUAACGGCCCACCAAGGCGACGAUCAGUAGCCGGCCUGAGAGGGUGAACGGCCACAUUGGGACUGAGACACGGCCCAAACUCCUACGGGAGGCAGCAGUGGGGAAUAUUGCACAAUGGGGGAAACCCUGAUGCAGCAACGCCGCGUGAGUGAAGAAGUAUUUCGGUAUGUAAAGCUCUAUCAGCAGGAAAGAAAAUGACGGUACCUGACUAAGAAGCCCCGGCUAACUACGUGCCAGCAGCCGCGGUAAUACGUAGGGGGCAAGCGUUAUCCGGAUUUACUGGGUGUAAAGGGAGCGUAGACGGUUUUGCAAGUCUGAAGUGAAAGCCCGGGGCUUAACCCCGGGACUGCUUUGG